GACCAGACUCCUACGGGAGGCAGCAGUGGGGAAUAUUGCACAAUGGGGGAAACCCUGAUGCAGCGACGCCGCGUGAGUGAAGAAGUAUUUCGGUAUGUAAAGCUCUAUCAGCAGGGAAGAAAAAAGACGGUACCUGACUAAGAAGCCCCGGCUAACUACGUGCCAGCAGCCGCGGUAAUACGUAGGGGGCAAGCGUUAUCCGGAAUUACUGGGUGUAAAGGGUGCGUAGGUGGCAUGGUAAGUCAGAAGUGAAAGCCCGGGGCUUAACCCCGGGACUGCUUUUGAAACUGUCAUGCUGGAGUGCAGGAGAGGUAAGCGGAAUUCCUAGUGUAGCGGUGAAAUGCGUAGAUAUUAGGAGGAACACCAGUGGCGAAGGCGGCUUACUGGACUGUCACUGACACUGAUGCACGAAAGCGUGGGGAGCAAACAGGAUUAGAUACCCCUGUAACG
rnacentral:rRNA from 1 species